rnacentral:lncRNA from 10 species
GUCAAAAACCAAAUAUAUCCUGAGGCUGACUUUGCUGACUCAAUGGAGCCAUCUGAAAUAGCCUCAGAGGAUUGUGAAUUGUCUCACUCUGUUUAUGAGAAUUUUAUGUUGCUGAUUGAACAACUUAGAAUGGAGUAUAAAGGCAAGAAGGUAAAUCAGUACUUGCUGUCCAUUGUGGCCAGAAGCAGAUUCCAGCAGAGCUUCAGCACCUGCUGUCGACUGAUUCUGCUAGCCUACCAAGAAUCCAAGACACAUUUUGUUUGUGUGAACACUUACUGAAACUUAAGAAUAAUCACUGUGACCAACUUACAGUAAAACUUAAACAAAUGGAAAAUAUGGUCAGUGUACUACAAAAUGAGCUAUCUGAAACAAAAAAGACAAAAUUACAGUUAGAACUUCAAAAAAUUGAAUGGGAGAAAGAGCUGUACGAUUUGAGGUAUGAUGUUCUAGUUCUAAAGAAAUGUUUAUACUAAAGACAAUAUAUCAGAAUUUUUGUAACUGCUGACUUACCUUCUGCAGAAUAAUGGGGGAGAAACCUUUUUGGUCUUGUGGAAUAUGAAAUUCUUGGAAAUAAUAAAACAAAUUAUUAAC